GGAGGGUUGUGCCGAACGGCUAAGGCACUGGUCUCGAAAACCAGCGGGCGCAAGCCCUUGCAGGUUCGAAUCCUGCACCCUCCG
rnacentral:tRNA from 6 species